ensembl:lncRNA
GCUACUGAGAGGUCUGGUGUUGUUCUCAUCCCUGAUCCUUUCAACUGACCUGUAUUUCCUUUCUGAGUUCUUUUGGAGCCUUUUCUUUAUCCCCGGUGUUUUGACAUUUCAUGAAAGACUUCUGGAGAAAUGACAGUCCCUUGCUACUGUGUUUAAUUGGAGAGGAUCUCAGAGACCCGAGAUUAUAAUUAUGACGCCCUAAAUGCCGAGCUCUUCAAAAGUCUGCCAUUGCCCUUGCUGUCACCCUGAACAGCUCUGAAAAUUCAAACCCUGCAGCCCCCAGAGCAUGCCCUGGGUCUCUCAGCCACGCCUCACCUGGGAAAUCUGAGUGAUGGUGACGUGCAGGCAGCAGAAAGACACGCAGUAAACCCAGGAGCCUGUGAUGAGCUCAGAAGAGUUUGAGGUCCCCUUGGAAAUCACAUGUUGGAGACACAGAGCCACAAGGUGGAAGGAUCUUGGUCCCUGAAUCAUCACUUGGAGGAGAGACACCACCAAUUAGAAACACCUAUGUGAGCUGAACAAGAAAUCAGUGAUAUUGUCUGAGCCAAUAUACGUUUGGAAUUUGUUUGUUAUAGCAUCUAAGCAUUACCUUAACUAAUAUAGGGUUUAAGAAAUUUGUUGGUUGUUCAGUUGAUUCUCCAGCCUGGUCUGAAGCCCCUUGAGACAGCAGGCCUUUGUUAAAGUGCCAGAGCAGGAGUGGAGAGCAGACUGGAAAAGUCUAGAAAGCCGGAGAUGAAGGCCUCUGGUAGAGGAAGCUAAGAUUUCAGAGAGAAGGUAUCCCACAGUGUGGCAAGAGCCAAUGGGAGAAGGUGAGGAGUCUUAAGCAGGUCUGGGAACUGUGAUGCUGGGGGUCAGGAAUCACGUUGGGUGCUUAGUCCACUUGGGAACUGUGAUCUCUAACAAAGCAGGACAUGGGGUGGUGAGGGAGUGUCAGAGGGCUGAGCACUGUCUUGCAACCAGGGCAAUGGGAAGAAGUGUUUUAGUUAAAACUAGGCUAACAGCGCUGCCAUCACUCUGCCCUGUCAACUGCCAUGGCUGAGUGGAUCUGAGCAGGGUGUCUCAUCACUGGCGAGGAUUUGUUCAGUAGGUCACAGAGAUGCACACCUGGAAGCUGGUCCCUGAAAGGAGCAGCUGUAAAUUCUGAGGCCAGCUGGCUCCAUCCAGAAACAGCCAGACCCACAGCAAGAGUGCUUUCUUCAGUCAGUAGAGCAGCUUGGCACUCCCCAAAUUGCUUAUUGACACAUAUUUUUGAGCCUCAUGGAUAUCCCGUAUAAAUUCUGUGCCAGGUAAGGUCACCAAAGUGUUAAUAAGUGAGAGCUCUCAGGAGGAGCCAGGGUCUCCUCAUCCUUGGCCAGUGCUUCUCAUUAUAAAAUUUCUUUCACAG